rnacentral:rRNA from 1 species
AAUAAACGUUGGCGGCGUGCUUAACACAUGCAAGUCGAGCGAGAAAGGUCUUCGGACUGAGUACAGCGGCAAACGGGUGAGUAACACGUGGGAAUCUACCUUUUAGUGAAGAAUACCCUCGAGAAAUCGAGGUUAAUACUGCAUACGUCUCGCAAGAGAGAAAGAUGGCCUCUUUGCUGUCGCUGAAAGAUGAGCCUGCGUACUAUUAGCUAGUUGGUAGGGUAAUGGCCUACCAAGGCGAUGAUGGUUAGCCGGCCUGAGAGGGUGUACGGCCACACUGGAACUUAGACACGGUCCAGACUCCUACGGGAGGCAGCAGUGAGGAAUAUUGCGCAAUGGGCGAAAGCCUGACGCAGCGACGCCGCGUGGAGGAUGAAGGUCUUAGGAUUGUAAACUCCUGUUAAGCGGGAAGAAAGCCUUGUUUCUAAUACAAGCAAGGUAUGACGGUACCGCUAGAGAAAGCACCGGCUAACUUCGUGCCAGCAGCCGCGGU